ACAGUAUCACUCUGCUCUCUUUUCUGGUUGAAAAGAAAGAAAGAAAGAAAACGCAGGUAUUGCUUUUCGAAGUGCUUUGUAGGUAAUCGAGGCUCGAAACGCCGGUCUCAGUGGCUAUUGAGUUACCCACCAAGUUACCCCGGUUAGAGCUGUUUGGGGUGGCUCACGUUAUUGCGGCAAACUUUGGAGAUGACGGCUGAGUCCUCCGGGCGAACAUGUCAAGCCGAUUGUAAAUGCUGUUAUUUCCACAUCCUUCAGGGACACCAGUCCCUACGAAGACCUUGGGCGAUUUUGAAGUGCGGGCACCUCGAUUCCCCGAAUCUGUAGUGUGGCUGGUAUCGGUGUUCCCCUGGUUUAACUAGCCUGUUUGAAGGCACAGAUCAUUCAUGGGGAUGUAUAACCGAAACCAGUCCUCUCCACCGCCUGGGGAUCUUCACUUUCGCAGUCUACGACUGCCUGUGACUCCAGAAAGACAAACUGCAGAUUGGCCAAGCUGCCUGAAGACCCAGCCCGACAGCGAUGCCUGUCAGCCCGCGUCGCCCACCAGGGCAGCUGCUCUCCCAACUCGCAUGGGGGGCACCACCCCGCCUCGGUGCCCUAGAGCUGAGCGCAGCCGCGGCUCCACGGGGAUCGCCAGGGCCUCAGCCCUCGCGGCCGGCGGCGCGGGAGUGUUGCGGGGCAGGGACCAGAGCGCGAUCAGAGCGGCCACCCCCGAUUUAGGUCGCCAGCUUUCCAGUCACUGCGAUGGCCACUGGGGCGCCCCUUCCAUCCUGGUUAAAUUCUCAUUGUGAUCCCCAGCCCUCUUCUCGGUUCCCCACACCCAGGAGGCCGGUUCUCCGCCGCUCAGGCUGGGAGAGGUCACCGCUCCGGGCAGGGUGGACCCCCAGCUCCGUCUCGGAGGACCUUUCGCCGGAGGCGAGCAGGAAGGGGUUAACCAUGAGCCUCCCACCCUCACCUCCCAGACCCUGGUGCCGGGCUAAGGCCUCCGCUUCCCUCCUGAGGUCUCAUUAGGAAACCCUCACCGCUAUUUUCAACAUUUCCUCAAUCAAGUGCCUUUAAAUAGAGCUGCACAAACAGAUUGGCGGCAAAAGCGUAGAUCUUGUCACGAUUGAGACCAAUCCAGUAUUUCAGCCUUGUUUGCUUUGCAAUUACGGGUUGGCUUGUGGCUACGGUGCCACCGGGGCAAAUCUGCAGCCGCUCGCUUUCUCCUCUGCGCUCCGGGCGGGUGGAGGAAGCGACCCGCGGAGUCACUGCAGGGAGGAGAGGGGGACGCGCGCGGGGGGAGGCGGCGGAGGGCGGAGGAGACUCGCUUGCACCCCAGGGCCGCGGGCACGCAGAGCUGUGUUGAAGGACAUACUUUUCAGGUUCCUGACAGUCACUGAGCUAUACGCAAUAAUAAAGUGCGUGAUUCGCGUGUGGAAA
rnacentral:lncRNA from 1 species